rnacentral:rRNA from 1 species
UACGGGGGGGGCAAGCGUUGUUCGGAAUUACUGGGCGUAAAGGGCUCGUAGGCGGCCAACUAAGUCGGACGUGAAAUCCCUCGGCUUAACCGGGGAACUGCGUCCGAUACUGGAUGGCUUGAGUUUGGGAGAGGGAUGCGGAAUUCCAGGUGUAGCGGCGAAAUGCGUAGAUAUCUGGAGGAACACCGGUGGCGAAGGCGGCAUCCUGGACCAACACUGACGCUGAUGAGCGAAAGCCAGGGGAGCAAACGGG